AGGAAUGCCGUUGACUCGGUUAUAAGCACACAUGAUGCCACUGGCUCGACCUUCUUCUAUGCAUUUCUUGAACGGUGGUUGGUACGUCUCCGCCAAGUCAGCCAAACUCACCUUUUAUUUUAUUUAUUGGACGACAAACAUAAUUAAUAGAUAAUGAUGGUCUACGUAAAUAUUAAUAUUCAUUAGAAGACAUCAAGAUUAGCACAUUUAUUCAUGAUAAGACGUAAAGAGUGCAAUCAAGGAACAAUUUAUAGAAUAUAAAAACAGCAUUAUGUAAAAGUUUCUACUUUGAGGUCCUAAAGACAACACUUUAGCAGAAAAAGCAAACACAAAAAUGGAAAAAGAUGAG